UCUGUGGCUGAAGCCACAGGCUAUAUUACUCAAUCCCUUCAGGAUU
rfam:Lentisphaerae bacterium GWF2_49_21 gwf2_scaffold_158, whole genome shotgun sequence.